rnacentral:ncRNA from 12 species
GAAAUCCCACCGAAGAGCAUCCGUAUGGAUGCCUUCUCGAAAGAGAUAGGUGGGGUUUCCUUU